UACGGGGGGGCAAGCGUUGUUCGGAAUUACUGGGCGUAAAGGGCUCGUAGGCGGCCAACUAAGUCAGACGUGAAAUCCCUCGGCUUAACCGGGGAACUGCGUCUGAUACUGGAUGGCUAGAGGUUGGGAGAGGGAUGCGGAAUUCCAGGUGUAGCGGUGAAAUGCGUAGAUAUCUGGAGGAACACCGGUGGCGAAGGCGGCAUCCUGGACCAAUUCUGACGCUGAGGAGCGAAAGCCAGGGGAGCAAACGGG
rnacentral:rRNA from 1 species